AAUAUCCUGCUCGGGUUCGAUAUAUAUAUAUAUAUAUAUAUAUAUAUAUAUAUAUAUAUAUAUAUAUAUAUAUAUAUAUAUAUAUAUAUAUAUAUAUAUAUAUAUAUAUAUAUAUAUAUCGAACCCGAGCAGGAAUUC